rnacentral:rRNA from 1 species
CCUACGGGAGGCAGCAGUGGGGAAUAUUGCACAAUGGGGGAAACCCUGAUGCAGCGACGCCGCGUGAAGGCAGAAGUCUUUCGGUAUGUAAACUUCUAUCAGCAGGGCAGAAAAUGACGGUACCUGACUAAGAAUCCCCGGCUAACUACGUGCCAGCAGCCGCGGUCAUACGUAGGGGGCAAGCGUUAUCCGGAUUUACUGGGUGUAAAGGGAGCGUAGGCGGCGAUGCAAGUCAGAAGUGAAAGCCCGGGGCUCAACUCCGGGACUGCUUUUGAAACUGUGUUGCUAGAUUGCAGGAGAGGUAAGUGGAAUGCCUAGUGUAGCGGUGAAAUGCGUAGAUAUUAGGAGGAACACCAGUGGCGAAGGCGGCUGACUGGACUGUAAAUGACGCUGAGGCUCGAAAGCGUGGGGAGCAAACAGGAUUAGAUACCCGAGUAGUC